rnacentral:rRNA from 1 species
AUACGUAGGUGGCAAGUGUUAUCCGGAUUUAUUGGGCGUAAAGCGAGCGCAGGCGGUUUUUUAAGUCUGAUGUGAAAGCCCUCGGCUUAACCGAAGAAGGGCAUCGGAAACUGGGAGACUUGAGUGCAGAAGAGGAGAGUGGAACUCCAUGUGUAGCGGUGAAAUGCGUAGAUAUAUGGAAGAACACCAGUGGCGAAGGCGGCUCUCUGGUCUGUAACUGACGCUGAGGCUCGAAAGCGU